GACGAACGCUGGCGGCGUGCUUAACACAUGCAAGUCGAACGGAAAGGCCCUGCUUUUGUGGGUUGCUCGUUUGGCGAACGGGUGAGUAACACGUGAGUAACCUGCCCUUAACUUUGUGAUAACUUCAGGAAACUGCGGCUAAUACCGGAUAUGAUCUCCUGCUCCAUGUUGGUGGUUGGAAAGUUUCGGCGGUUGGGGCUGGACUCGCGGCUUAUCAGCUUGUUGGUGGGGUAGUUACUUACCAAGGCUGUGACGGGUAGCCGGCCUGAGAGGGUUACCGGCCACAUGGGGACUGAGAUACGGAGCAGACGCCUACGGGAGGCAGCAGGGGGGAAUAUUGCACAAUGGGCGGAAGCCUGAUGCAGAAACGCCGCGUGCGGGAUGACGGCCUUCGGGUGGUAAACAGCUUUCGCAUGUGACGAAGAGUGAGUGACGGUAAUGGGUAAAGAAGCACCGGCUAACUACGUG
rnacentral:rRNA from 1 species